rnacentral:rRNA from 1 species
UGGGGGAUAUUGCACAAUGGGCGAAAGCCUGAUGCAGCGACGCCGCGUGGGGGAUGAAGGCCUUCGGGUUGUAAACUUCUUUUGCUCUGAACAAGGCGCACCAUGGGGUGUGUUGAGUGUAGGGGUUGAUUAGCGCCGGCUAACUACGUGCCAGCAGCCGCGGUAAUACGUAGGGCGCGAGCGUUGUCCGGAAUUAUUGGGCGUAAAGGGCUUGUAGGUGGCUGGUUGCGUCUGUCGUGAAAGCUCAUGGCUUAACUGUGGGUUUGCGGUGGGUACGGGCUGGCUUGAGUGCAGUAGGGGGGGCUAGAAUUCCUGGUGUAGCGGUGGAAUGCGCAGAUAUCAGGAGGAAUACCGGUGGCGAAGGCGGGUCUCUGGGCUGUUACUGACACUGAGGAGCGAAAGCAUGGGGAGCGAACAGG